rnacentral:rRNA from 1 species
GACGAACGCUGGCGGCGUGCUUAAUACAUGCAAGUCAACUGAACUUAGGAUAGCAAUAUUUUAAGGGAGGUGGCGCACGGGUGAAGUAACACGUAGGUAAUCUGCCUUUAGGUCUGACAUAACCUACCGAAGGUAGGCUAAAAUCAGAUGAUGCAGCGGCUCGACAUCGAGACAGUUGUUAAAUCUUCGGAGCCUAAAGAUGAGCCUGCGUCUGAUUAGGUAGUUGGCGGUGUAAUGGACCACCAAGCCUGCGAUCAGUAGCUGGUCUGAGAGGAUGAUCAGCCACACUGGAACUGAGACACGGUCCAGACUCCUACGGGAGGCAGGCAGUAAGGAAUAUUGCUCAAUGGCCGAAAGGCGUGAAGCAGCAACGCCGCGUGGAGGAU